AGCCGACGAUCGGUAGCUGGUCUGAGAGGUGACCAGCCACACUGGAACUGAGACACGGUCCAGACUCCUACGGGAGGCAGCAGUGGGGAAUAUUGGACAAUGGGGGCAACCCUGAUCCAGCAAUGCCGCGUGUGUGAAGAAGGCCUGAGGGUUGUAAAGCACUUUCAGUGGGGAGGAGGGUUGAUAGGUUAAGAGCUAAUUAACUGGACGUUACCCACAGAAGAAGCACCGGCUAACUCCGUGCCAGCAGCCGCGGUAAUACGGAGGGUGCGAGCGUUAAUCGGAAUUACUGGGCGUAAAGGGUGCGUAGGUGGUUGAUUAAGUUAUCUGUGAAAUUCCUGGGCUUAACCUGGGACGGUCAGAUAAUACUGGUUGACUCGAGUAUGGGAGAGGGUAGUGGAAUUUCCGGUGUAGCGGUGAAAUGCGUAGAGAUCGGAAGGAACACCAGUGGCGAAGGCGGCUACCUGGCCUAAUACUGACACUGAGGCACGAAAGCGUGGGGAGCAAACAGGAUUAGAUACCCUGGUAGUCCACGCUGUAAACGAUGUCAACUAGCUGUUGGUUAUAUGAAAAUAAUUAGUGGCGCAGCAAACGCGUUAAAAUUA
rnacentral:rRNA from 1 species